AUUGAACGCUGGCGGCAGGCCUAACACAUGCAAGUCGAGCGGAUGAAGGGAGCUUGCUCCUGGAUUCAGCGGCGGACGGGUGAGUAAUGCCUAGGAAUCUGCCUGGUAGUGGGGGAUAACGUCCGGAAACGGGCGCUAAUACCGCAUACGUCCUGAGGGAGAAAGUGGGGGAUCUUCGGACCUCACGCUAUCAGAUGAGCCUAGGUCGGAUUAGCUAGUUGGUGGGGUAAAGGCCUACCAAGGCGACGAUCCGUAACUGGUCUGAGAGGAUGAUCAGUCACACUGGAACUGAGACACGGUCCAGACUCCUACGGGAGGCAGCAGUUGGGAAUAUUAGACAAUGGGGGAAAGCCUGAUCCAGCCAUGCCGCGUGUGUGAAGAAGGUCUUCGGAUUGUAAAGCACUUUAAGUUGGGAGGAAGGGCAGUAAGUUAAUACCUUGCUGUUUUGACGUUACCAACAGAAUAAGCACCGGCUAACUUCGUG
rnacentral:rRNA from 1 species